AACUUACCUGCGUAUGGGCCACACGGUGAUGCAUUGUCCUUUCCACUUUUGCCAUCCUUGCUGCCGCUUCCUGAAACAGCCAAGAACCAGUUCUGGUGUAAGAAAAUGGAAAACAUUGUUUUCUUUCGAAUUGCACGGCUGAGCGCAAUGGGAAACCACAGAUCACUACGCAAAAGCUAGCGAAAAAUAAAUGCAGUUAAAAAGUGUAACGUGGAAAAGAAGGAGAAACGUGCGUACGAAGGACAUAGGCGAAUACCAGGUCACUCGUAUAGCUACAUUUGCAGAUAAUCUUCAAGUACAGCGCGUGUUCCCCUUGAAAAUUCACCAAAUAAAAUCCAGCGGCUGCCGCAUGCCAGCGGCUAGCUUUGGAUGACAGGACGCGAGAUCUUUGCCAACAGCUUUAACUUUGUAAACGACGCGACGAUUGGAAAUAAAAUUGUUGGAAAGCCUG